UGUGAUCGUAGCUUCGGCUUACACAAACACUAUUGUCGUCGUGAAUGUCUAGUUAUCAUAACAAACAUAACUUUCAACAACGGAUCUCUUGGCUCUCGCAUCGAUGAAGAACGCAGCGAAAUGCGAUAAGUAAUGUGAAUUGCAGAAUAGUGAAUCAUCGAAUCUUUGAACGCACCUUGCGCCCUAUGGGGCAUGCUGGUUUGAGCGCCUUAUAAUCGUGUUC
rnacentral:misc_RNA from 1 species